UUAAGCGACUAAGCGUACACGGUGGAUGCCCUGGCAGUCAGAGGCGAUGAAGGACGUGCUAAUCUGCGAUAAGCGUCGGUAAGGUGAUAUGAACCGUUAUAACCGGCGAUUUCCGAAUGGGGAAACCCAGUGUGUUUCGACACACUAUCAUUAACUGAAUCCAUAGGUUAAUGAGGCGAACCGGGGGAACUGAAACAUCUAAGUACCCCGAGGAAAAGAAAUCAACCGAGAUUCCCCCAGUAGCGGCGAGCGAACGGGGAGCAGCCCAGAGCCUGAAUCAGUGUGUGUGUUAGUGGAAGCGUCUGGAAAGGCGCGCGAUACAGGGUGACAGCCCCGUACACAAAAAUGCACAUGCUGUGAGCUCGAUGAGUAGGGCGGGACACGUGGUAUCCUGUCUGAAUAUGGGGGGACCAUCCUCCAAGGCUAAAUACUCCUGACUGACCGAUAGUGAACCAGUACCGUGAGGGAAAGGCGAAAAGAACCCCGGCGAGGGGAGUGAAAAAGAACCUGAAACCGUGUACGUACAAGCAGUGGGAGCACGCUUAGGCGUGUGACUGCGUACCUUUUGUAUAAUGGGUCAGCGACUUAUAUUCUGUAGCAAGGUUAACCGAAUAGGGGAGCCGAAGGGAAACCGAGUCUUAACUGGGCGUUAAGUUGCAGGGUAUAGACCCGAAACCCGGUGAUCUAGCCAUGGGCAGGUUGAAGGUUGGGUAACACUAACUGGAGGACCGAACCGACUAAUGUUGAAAAAUUAGCGGAUGACUUGUGGCUGGGGGUGAAAGGCCAAUCAAACCGGGAGAUAGCUGGUUCUCCCCGAAAGCUAUUUAGGUAGCGCCUCGUGAAUUCAUCUCCGGGGGUAGAGCACUGUUUCGGCAAGGGGGUCAUCCCGACUUACCAACCCGAUGCAAACUGCGAAUACCGGAGAAUGUUAUCACGGGAGACACACGGCGGGUGCUAACGUCCGUCGUGAAGAGGGAAACAACCCAGACCGCCAGCUAAGGUCCCAAAGUCAUGGUUAAGUGGGAAACGAUGUGGGAAGGCCCAGACAGCCAGGAUGUUGGCUUAGAAGCAGCCAUCAUUUAAAGAAAGCGUAAUAGCUCACUGGUCGAGUCGGCCUGCGCGGAAGAUGUAACGGGGCUAAACCAUGCACCGAAGCUGCGGCAGCGACGCUUAUGCGUUGUUGGGUAGGGGAGCGUUCUGUAAGCCUGCGAAGGUGUGCUGUGAGGCAUGCUGGAGGUAUCAGAAGUGCGAAUGCUGACAUAAGUAACGAUAAAGCGGGUGAAAAGCCCGCUCGCCGGAAGACCAAGGGUUCCUGUCCAACGUUAAUCGGGGCAGGGUGAGUCGACCCCUAAGGCGAGGCCGAGAGGCGUAGUCGAUGGGAAACAGGUUAAUAUUCCUGUACUUGGUGUUACUGCGAAGGGGGGACGGAGAAGGCUAUGUUGGCCGGGCGACGGUUGUCCCGGUUUAAGCGUGUAGGCUGGUUUUCCAGGCAAAUCCGGAAAAUCAAGGCUGAGGCGUGAUGACGAGGCACUACGGUGCUGAAGCAACAAAUGCCCUGCUUCCAGGAAAAGCCUCUAAGCAUCAGGUAACAUCAAAUCGUACCCCAAACCGACACAGGUGGUCAGGUAGAGAAUACCAAGGCGCUUGAGAGAACUCGGGUGAAGGAACUAGGCAAAAUGGUGCCGUAACUUCGGGAGAAGGCACGCUGAUAUGUAGGUGAAGCGACUUGCUCGUGGAGCUGAAAUCAGUCGAAGAUACCAGCUGGCUGCAACUGUUUAUUAAAAACACAGCACUGUGCAAACACGAAAGUGGACGUAUACGGUGUGACGCCUGCCCGGUGCCGGAAGGUUAAUUGAUGGGGUUAGCCGCAAGGCGAAGCUCUUGAUCGAAGCCCCGGUAAACGGCGGCCGUAACUAUAACGGUCCUAAGGUAGCGAAAUUCCUUGUCGGGUAAGUUCCGACCUGCACGAAUGGCGUAAUGAUGGCCAGGCUGUCUCCACCCGAGACUCAGUGAAAUUGAACUCGCUGUGAAGAUGCAGUGUACCCGCGGCAAGACGGAAAGACCCCGUGAACCUUUACUAUAGCUUGACACUGAACAUUGAGCCUUGAUGUGUAGGAUAGGUGGGAGGCUUUGAAGUGUGGACGCCAGUCUGCAUGGAGCCGACCUUGAAAUACCACCCUUUAAUGUUUGAUGUUCUAACGUUGACCCGUAAUCCGGGUUGCGGACAGUGUCUGGUGGGUAGUUUGACUGGGGCGGUCUCCUCCUAAAGAGUAACGGAGGAGCACGAAGGUUGGCUAAUCCUGGUCGGACAUCAGGAGGUUAGUGCAAUGGCAUAAGCCAGCUUGACUGCGAGCGUGACGGCGCGAGCAGGUGCGAAAGCAGGUCAUAGUGAUCCGGUGGUUCUGAAUGGAAGGGCCAUCGCUCAACGGAUAAAAGGUACUCCGGGGAUAACAGGCUGAUACCGCCCAAGAGUUCAUAUCGACGGCGGUGUUUGGCACCUCGAUGUCGGCUCAUCACAUCCUGGGGCUGAAGUAGGUCCCAAGGGUAUGGCUGUUCGCCAUUUAAAGUGGUACGCGAGCUGGGUUUAGAACGUCGUGAGACAGUUCGGUCCCUAUCUGCCGUGGGCGCUGGAGAACUGAGGGGGGCUGCUCCUAGUACGAGAGGACCGGAGUGGACGCAUCACUGGUGUUCGGGUUGUCAUGCCAAUGGCACUGCCCGGUAGCUAAAUGCGGAAGAGAUAAGUGCUGAAAGCAUCUAAGCACGAAACUUGCCCCGAGAUGAGUUCUCCCUGACNGUCCUGAAGGAACGUUGAAGACGACGACGUUGAUAGGCCGGGUGUGUAAGCGCAGCGAUGCGUUGAGCUAACCGGUACUAAUGAACCGUGAGGCUUAACCUU
rnacentral:rRNA from 1 species